GAAAUGCGAUAAGUAAUGUGAAUUGCAGAAUUCCGUGAAUCAUCGAAUCUUUGAACGCACAUUGCGCCCUCUGGUAUUCCGGGGGGCAUGCCUGUCCGAGCGUCAUUACGAACCCCUCAAGCACGGCUUGUGUGAUGGGCCCUCCCGCGUCUUGGUCGUCAAGACGGGCCCGAAAAGCAGUGGCGGCUUCGCGGUUAUCCGAUCAGCCAGAGCGUAUGGGGACUUUCUCUCUGUCACACGCCCGCGGCGCGGACCGACGCCUGUCGACCUUUAUUCAUCUUUUUCUCGGUUGACCUCGGAUCAGGUAGGGAUACCCGCUGAACUUAAGC
rnacentral:misc_RNA from 1 species